GAGUGGCGGACGGGUUGAGUAACGCGUGGGNUAACCUUGCCUCAUACAAGGGGAUAACAGUUAGAAAUGGCUGCUAAUACCGUAUAAGACCACAGCACCGCAUGGUGCGGUGGUAAAAACUCCGGUGGUAUGAGAUGGACCCGCGUCUGAUUAGCUGGUUGGCGGGGUAACGGCCCACCAAGGCGACGAUCAGUAGCCGACCUGAGAGGGUGACCGGCCACAUUGGGACUGAGACACGGCCCAAACUCCUACGGGAGGCAGCAGUGGGGAAUAUUGCACAAUGGGGGAAACCCUGAUGCAGCGACGCCGCGUGAGCGAAGAAGUAUUUCGGUAUGUAAAGCUCUAUCAUCAGGGAAGAAAAUGACGGUACCUGACUAAGAAGCACCGGCUAAAUACGUGNCCAGCAGCCGCGGUAAUACGUAUGGUGCAAGCGUUAUCCCGGAUUUACUGGGUGUAAAAGGGAGCGUAGACGGCUGUGUAAGUCUGGAGUGAAAGCCCGGGGCUCAACCCCGGGAACUGCUUUGGAAACUAUGCAGCUAGAGUGUCGGAGAGGUAAGUGGAAUUCCCAGUGUAGCGGUGAAAUGCGUAGAUAUUGGGAGGAACACCAGUGGCGAAGGCGGCUUACUGGACGAUGACUGACGUUGAUGCUCGAAAGCGUGGGGAGCAAACAGGAUUAGAUACCCUGGUAGUUCCACGCCGUAAACGAUGAAUACUAGGUGUCGUGGUGGCAAAGCCAUUCGGUGCCGCAGCAAACGCAGUAAGUAUUCCACCUGGGGAGUACGUUCGCAAGAAUGAAACUUCAAAGGAAUUGACGGGGACCCGCACAAGCGGUGGAGCAUGUGGUUUAAUUNGAAGCAACGCGAAGAACCUUACCUGGUCUUGACAUCCCGGUGACAGAGUAUGUAAUGUACUUUCCCUUCGGGGCACUGGAGACAGGUGGUGCAUGGUUGUCGUCAGCUCGUGUCGUGAGAUGUUGGGUUAAGUCCCGCAACGAGCGCAACCCUUAUCUUUAGUAGCCAGCAUUUAAGGUGGGCACUCUAGAGAGACUGCCAGGGAUAACCUGGAGGAAGGUGGGGAUGACGUCAAAUCAUCAUGCCCCUUAUGAUCAGGGCUACACACGUGCUACAAUGGCGUAAACAAAGGGAAGCGAGGCCGCGAGGCGGAGCAAAUCCCAAAAAUAACGUCUCAGUUCGGAUUGUAGUCUGCAACUCGACUACAUGAAGCUGGAAUCGCUAGUAAUCGCGAAUCAGAAUGUCGCGGUGAAUACGUUCCCGGGUCUUGUACACACCGCCCGUCACACCAUGGGAGUCAGUAACGCCCGAAGUACAGUGACCCAACCGAAAGGAGG
rnacentral:rRNA from 1 species